CCUACGGGCGGCAGCAGUGAGGAAUAUUGGUCAAUGGACGAGAGUCUGAACCAGCCAAGUAGCGUGAAGGAUGACUGCCCUAUGGGUUGUAAACUUCUUUUAUAUGGGAAUAAAAUGUUCCACGUGUGGGAUUUUGUAUGUACCAUAUGAAUAAGGAUCGGCUAACUCCGUGCCAGCAGCCGCGGUAAUACGGAGGAUCCGAGCGUUAUCCGGAUUUAUUGGGUUUAAAGGGAGCGUAGGUGGAUUGUUAAGUCAGUUGUGAAAGUUUGCGGCUCAACCGUAAAAUUGCAGUUGAAACUGGCAGUCUUGAGUACAGUAGAGGUGUGCGGAAUUCGUGGUGUAGCGGUGAAAUGCUUAGAUAUCACGAAGAACUCCGAUUGCGAAGGCAGUUCACUGGACUGCAACUGACACUGAGGCUCGAAAGUGUGGGUAUCAAACAGGAUUAGAUACCCGUGUAGUC
rnacentral:rRNA from 1 species